rnacentral:rRNA from 1 species
AGAGUUUGAUCAUGGCUCAGGAUGAACGCUAGCGGCAGGCUUAACACAUGCAAGUCGAGGGGCAUCAUUGGAGUAGCAAUACUUCAGAUGGCGACCGACGCACGGGUGCGUAACGCGUAUGCAACCUACCUUUAACAGGGGGAUAACACUGAGAAAUCGGUACUAAUACCCCAUAACAUCGCAGACGGCAUCGUUUGCGGUUGAAAACUCCGG